rnacentral:tRNA from 1 species
GUUUUAAUAAUUUAAAUUAAAAAAAUAUUGGUCUUGUAAACCAACAAUAAGAUUUAUUCUUUUAAAACU